rnacentral:rRNA from 1 species
UACGAGGGGGCUAGCGUUGUUCGGAAUUACUGGGCGUAAAGCGCGCGCAGGCGGUCUUCCAAGUCAGUGGUGAAAGCCCGGAGCUCAACUCCGGAACUGCCAUUGAAACUGUAAGACUUGAGGAUGAGAGAGGUGAGUGGAAUUCCCAGUGUAGAGGUGAAAUUCGUAGAUAUUGGGAAGAACACCGGUGGCGAAGGCGGCUCACUGGCUCAUUUCUGACGCUCAGGCGCGACAGCGUGGGGAUCAAACAGG